AAUCUCUUGUAGUUCACAGCAUGAUGGUUGGGCGUUGACACACAUGUGUGUGCUGUGCCUCCCUCAGGCCUUGUUAGUACGUCACACAUUUACCUGUCUGCUA
ensembl:snoRNA